rnacentral:rRNA from 1 species
GUGCCAGCAGCCGCGGAUAAUACGUAGGUGGCAAGCGUUGUCCGGAUUUAUUGGGCGUAAAGCGAGCGCAGGCGGUUUCUUAAGUCUGAUGUGAAAGCCCCCGGCUCAACCGGGGGAGGGUCAUUGGAAACUGGGAGACUUGAGUGCAGAAGAAGAGAGUGGAAUUUCCAUGUGUAGCGGUGAAAUGGGUAGAUAUAUGGAGGGAACACCAGUGGCGAAGGCGACUCUCUGGUCUGUAAACUGACGCUGAGACUCGAAAGCGUGGGGAGCAAACAGGAUUAGAUACCCUGGUAGUCC